rnacentral:tRNA from 1 species
GGAAGCACGCCGGAGCCGGAGGGCCGGGGCGGUCUGUAAAACCGCUGCAUCUUUGCUGAGCAGGUUCAAAUCCUGUUGUUUCCA